rnacentral:rRNA from 1 species
GAUGAACGCUGACAGAAUGCUUAACACAUGCAAGUCGAUGGGGAAGUGGUGCUUGCACCAUGGUAACCAUGGCGGACGGGUGAGUAACGCGUAAGGAACUUGCCUGCGGGACUGGGAUAACAGCAGGAAACUGCUGAUAAUACCGGAUAAGGUCAUUAAGCUGCAUAGCUUAGUGAUGAAAGGAGACGCCUGCGGAGAGCCUUGCGUCCUAUUAGCUAGUUGGAGGGGUAACGGCCCACCAAGGCGAAGACAGGUAGCCGGCCUGAGAGGGUGGACGGCCACAAGGGGACUGAGAUACGGCCCUUACUCCUACGGGAGGCAGCAGUGGGGAAUAUUGGGCAAUGGGGGCAACCCUGAUCCAGCAAUUCUGUGUGCACGAAGACGGUUUUCGGAUUGUAAAGUGCUUUCAGCAGGGAAGAAGGAAGUGACGGUACCUGCAGAAGAAGCGACGGCUAAAUACGUG